GACACUAUGUGUUGUUGGGUAGGGGAGCGUUCUGUAAGCCUGUGAAGGUGUGUCGUGAGGCAUGCUGGAGGUAUCAGAAGUGCGAAUGCUGACAUAAGUAACGAUAAAGCGGGUGAAAAGCCCGCUCGCCGGAAGACCAAGGGUUCCUGUCCAACGUUAAUCGGGGCAGGGUGAGUCGACCCCUAAGGCGAGGCCGAAAGGCGUAGUCGAUGGGAAACGGGUUAAUAUUCCCGUACUUGGUGUUACUGCGAAGGGGGGACGGAGAAGGCUAUGUUGGCCGGGCGACGGUUGUCCCGGUUUAAGCGUGUAGGUGUGUGUUCCAGGUAAAUCCGGUUCACUUUAACACUGAGGCGUGACGACGAGGCACUACGGUGCUGAAGCAACAAAUGCCCUGCUUCCAGGAAAAGCCUCUAAGCAUCAGGUAACAUCAAAUCGUACCCCAAACCGACACAGGUGGUCAGGUAGAGAAUACCAAGGCGCUUGAGAGAACUCGGGUGAAGGAACUAGGCAAAAUGGUGCCGUAACUUCGGGAGAAGGCACGCUGACACGUAGGUGAAGUGAUUUACUCAUGGAGCUGAAGUCAGUCGAAGAUACCAGCUGGCUGCAACUGUUUAUUAAAAACACAGCACUGUGCAAACACGAAAGUGGACGUAUACGGUGUGACGCCUGCCCGGUGCCGGAAGGUUAAUUGAUGGGGUCAGCGCAAGCGAAGCUCCUGAUCGAAGCCCCGGUAAACGGCGGCCGUAACUAUAACGGUCCUAAGGUAGCGAAAUUCCUUGUCGGGUAAGUUCCGACCUGCACGAAUGGCGUAAUGAUGGCCAGGCUGUCUCCACCCGAGACUCAGUGAAAUUGAACUCGCUGUGAAGAUGCAGUGUACCCGCGGCAAGACGGAAAGACCCCGUGAACCUUUACUAUAGCUUGACACUGAACAUUGAGCCUUGAUGUGUAG
rnacentral:rRNA from 2 species